rnacentral:rRNA from 1 species
AGAGUUUGAUCCUGGCUCAGAGCGAACGCUGGCGGCAGGCUUAACACAUGCAAGUCGAGCGGGCGUAGCAAUAUGUCAGCGGCAGACGGGUGAGUAACGCGUGGGAACAUACCUUUUGGUUCGGAACAACCCAGGGAAACUUGGGCUAAUACCGGAUAAGCCCUUACGGGGAAAGAUUUAUCGCCGAAAGAUUGGCCCGCGUCUGAUUAGCUAGUUGGUGAGGUAACGGCUCACCAAGGCGACGAUCAGUAGCUGGUCUGAGAGGAUGAUCAGCCACAUUGGGACUGAGACACGGCCCAAACUCCUACGGGAGGCAGCAGUGGGGAAUAUUGGACAAUGGGGGCAACCCUGAUCCAGCCAUGCCGCGUGAGUGAUGAAGGCCCUAGGGUUGUAAAGCUCUUUUGUGCGGGAAGAUAAUGACGGUACCGCAAGAAUAAGCCCCGGCUAACUUCGUGCCAGCAGCCGCGGUAAUACGAAGGGGGCUAGCGUUGCUCGGAAUCACUGGGCGUAAAGGGUGCGUAGGCGGGUCUUUAAGUCAGGGGUGAAAUCCUGGAGCUCAACUCCAGAACUGCCUUUGAUACUGAGGAUCUUGAGUCCGGGAGAGGUGAGUGGAACUGCGAGUGUAGAGGUGAAAUUCGUAGAUAUUCGCAAGAACACCAGUGGCGAAGGCGGCUCACUGGCCCGGUACUGACGCUGAGGCACGAAAGCGUGGGGAGCAAACAGGAUUAGAUACCCUAGUAGUCC